GAGAAAGUUAAGGCUUUAAAUCUGUAAAAACCGCCAGUUAGCUAGCUUGGUUUCUCACUGGUCAAUCUUCAGGUCUCUGAGCUAACUUCCAUGGCGUCCGCAGGUUCUUCUCUCUUUCCGGUUAACUUUUCUUCUAUCGUUUGCUCUGGAACCAAGUCAUUUCCAGGAAGUUCAAGUAAUAAUUCCAUUCCGAUUUCGGUUCCGGUUUCCUUUUCGACUCACCGAUUGUCUGUGUCUACCACUGAAGACCAAUCAUCGGAGGCGAAGACGAAAAUCUUAGAGAAGAGAAAUCUCAAGAAUUCGGUAGAGGAGGAAGAAUCAGCUCAUACGACGUCGUUUUCACGCGAGGAAGGAUUUUGGUCUCAUGCUGACUUGACGAGGUUGAUCAGAUAAGGGAACGGCGAACGAGUGUAAAGGAUUACUUUGAGCAGGCCAAGGAUUUGAUCAGGUCAGACUGUGGACCGCCUCGUUGGUUCUCGCCCUUGGAGUGCGGGUCCCGCUUGAAUGAUUCUCCUCUGCUUCUUUUUUUGCCUGGAAUUGAUGGCGUCGGGCUUGGACUUGUAAAGCAUCAUGAAAAGCUCGGCAAAAUGUUUGACAUAUGGUGCUUGCAUAUUCCCGUUGAGGAUCGCACAUCUUUUGUGGGUUCGUCUUCUUUCCCUUUCAUUUGAUCAGUGUGUAUCUAUACAUGUUAAGUGUCGGG